rnacentral:rRNA from 1 species
GCAGUCGAACGAGACCUUCGGGUCUAGUGGCGCACGGGUGCGUAACGCGUGGGAAUCUGCCCUUGGGUCCGGAAUAACAGUUAGAAAUGACCGCUAAUACCGGAUGAUGACUUCGGUCCAAAGAUUUAUCGCCCAGGGAUGAGCCCGCGUAGGAUUAGCUAGUUGGUGAGGUAAAGGCUCACCAAGGCGACGAUCCUUAGCUGGUCUGAGAGGAUGAUCAGCCACACUGGGACUGAGACACGGCCCAGACUCCUACGGGAGGCAGCAGUGGGGAAUAUUGGACAAUGGGCGAAAGCCUGAUCCAGCAAUGCCGCGUGAGUGAUGAAGGCCUUAGGGUUGUAAAGCUCUUUUACCCGGGAAGAUAAUGACUGUACCGGGAGAAUAAGCCCCGGCUAACUCCGUGCCAGCAGCCGCGGUAAUACGGAGGGGGCUAGCGUUGUUCGGAAUUACUGGGCGUAAAGCGCACGUAGGCGGCUUUGUAAGUUAGAGGUGAAAGCCCGGAGCUCAACUCCGGAAUUGCCUUUAAGACUGCAUCGCUAGAAUUGUGGAGAGGUGAGUGGAAUUCCGAGUGUAGAGGUGAAAUUCGUAGAU